AUAUCAUGCCAAUUAAGCAAUAAAUACAUAAUCGUGGUAUAUCAUGUCAAUGAACAGUAAAUGCAAACAUCCUGAAUAUCUGUCACGCCGCUUCAUAACGGUGGCAUUCCCACACCUCAAGGGGAAUGCCGCCGGGUUCUCACGUGUCCGGUAGACACCCGCCAGGUCUGCUCAUGCCCGGGAGAGGACUGGUAUGGCGGACACAUCUCGGUCUGGCGGCAUUCCCACGUGGUAAUGGGAAUGCCGCCCAUCACUCACUCCUGGUGGUAGCUCCUCCCCCUCACACAGCGGCCG